rnacentral:tRNA from 1 species
AGGUUAGCCGGGACAUGUAAGAACUUCUAAUUCAUAUAAGGGGGUUCAACUCCUCCAUAAUCUU